GCUAUAUGCUAAGUAGAUCUAGGUGCUGAAAAUACAAGGUUGAGUGAAGACAUCAUUCUUAUGAGGAGGGGAGAAGACAGAAAUAUUCUAAUAUGAUAUAGCAUUACAUGUGUUCACUGUAAGGGCAGACCAACAAGAACUUUUUCCUACUUGAGCUCCGUCUUUUUCAUAGGAGUGGCUCUUCCAGUUGCCAGGGAGACAUUGUGGUAACUUGGAGAAAAAAGUAGGCACAGGGCACGUUCAGGGUAUCAGGGUCAAGGGUCCCAAAGGACUUAGCUUAUAUUAUGUCUACUGAGAAAUGAAACACAGAUCUUUGGCAAUCUGCUGGCU
rnacentral:snoRNA from 1 species